CACAAUAUCAAGUGGGCAAAGAGGAAGUAUCAACCUUCCUAAGUAAAUCAUCUUUAAAUCCUUUUGAUCUAUUGAAAGAUCAGAUUAAAUCUGAGCAUCCCCAUAUAUCGGAAUAUGAGCUUAUGAAGAAAUGUAUGUUCUUCUUCAAGGACCAGUUCUCAUCAAAUUUCUGUAAAGAUGAUUCUUCUAUGGGAUCAGGGUCUAAUAAUGACACCACAGAUGAAUGUAUAUUAGCAGGCGAAU
rnacentral:lncRNA from 1 species